GACUGUUCAGCUUUCAAUAACUCUUGGUAACAGUGUUAUUGUACCUGAAAAACCGACUACCUCUACACUACAUCUUCAAAUCAUAUUCUAUCUAAAGGAGUCAUAUAUUAAUACACGCGUCUUAAACCCAACAGUCUCUCAAUCAGCAUAAGUACAAAGUAAUCUUUUUACAUUCAGUCUCCUGAUACCAUUGAAAUCAACGUAUUACAACAGAUCAAAAUAUAAGAAAAA